rnacentral:rRNA from 1 species
CCUACGGGAGGCAGCAGUGAGGAAUAUUGGUCAAUGGACGAGAGUCUGAACCAGCCAAGUAGCGUGAAGGAUGACUGCCCUAUGGGUUGUAAACGUCUUUUAUAUGGGAAUAAAAUGUUCCACGUGUGGGAUUUUGUAUGUACCAUAUGAAUAAGGAUCGGCUAACUCCGUGCCAGCAGCCGCGGUAAUACGGAGGAUCCGAGCGUUAUCCGGAUUUAUUGGGUUUAAAGGGGGCGUAGGUGGAUUGUUAAGUCAGUUGUGAAAGUUUGCGGCUCAACCGUAAAAUUGCAGUUGAAACUGGCAGUCUUGAGUACAGUAGAGGUGGGCGGAAUUCGUGGUGUAGCGGUGAAAUGCUUAGAUAUCACGAAGAACUCCGAUUGCGAAGGCAGUUCACUGGACUGCAACUGACACUGAGGCUCGAAAGUGUGGGUAUCAAACAGGAUUAGAUACCCUUGUAGUC